rnacentral:snRNA from 1 species
GUGCUCACUUUCACAGCACACAUACUAAAAUUGGCAUGGCCCCUACACAAAGAUGUCACACAAAUUUGUGAAGCCUUUUAUAUUAAA